GUGCAGCCGCCGCGGUAAUACCGGCAGCUCAAGUGAUGUCCCAUAUUAUUGGGCCUAAAGCGUCCGUAGCUGGCCGACCAAGUCUCCCGGGAAAUCCACCCGCCCAACGGGCGGGCGUCCGGUAGAAACUGGCCGGCUUGGAACCGGAAGGCUCAGAGAGUACGUCCGGGGUAGGAGUGGAAUCCCGUAAUCCCGGACGGACUACCGAUGGCGAAAGCACUCUGAGAAGACGGCUUCGACAGUGAGGGACGAAAGCGCGGGUCUCAAACCGGAUUAGAGACCCCUGUAGUCU
rnacentral:rRNA from 1 species